AUCCACGAUAAAUCUUACCACUUCUUGCAUUUUUAACAGGUGUUGCAUGGCUGUCUUUAGUUCGUGUUGUGAAAUGUGUGGUUUAUUCCGGUAACGAACGCAAACCUUAUCUUUAAUUGUUUGUUUAAAGAAUUAUCUUUUGAUAUAUUAGAUUAAUUAGGAUGAAGACAAGUCCUCAUGACCUUUAUGAAGUGGGCUACAGACGUGCUGCAAUGGUUUUGACAAAGGGAUGCAAUGAUGCAAAUUAGAGCUAAUCCUUAAAAGAAACUUUAGUGCGAAUAAGAAUCUGAAACUCNNUUCUUU
rnacentral:rRNA from 2 species